ensembl:snoRNA LOC120102056 small nucleolar RNA SNORA17
CUUGCCCCUAGAGGAGCAGGUGUGGCUGCUGUGUCACAUGCAUGUCAAUAGGUGGCAGAGAAGAGAGAGACUAUGUCUCUGCUGCGUUCUAACCUAUGAACAUCUGAAUGAUUCGUAACCUAACAAU